rnacentral:lncRNA from 1 species
GUUGACUGCUGCGUCUCUGGAGCGCAGAGAAUAACAUGGCAAAGACCCUGCAGCAUCCACCAUGCUGUUGAGACUUCCUCCCCACUACUGGAGAUCUCUGGAUGGGAGAUGAUGGUUGACUGGUCGGUAUUUUUCUUUGUUUAAUCUGCUGAUCCUUCUGCUGGAUGCUCAUAGUUUCUGCUUAACUUUUUGUACAGAAACAAUGAAUUGAAGGAAAGGGAGGAGGGAGAAACUAGUGGUAAGGGCGUCUUUUAUACUGAUUUCUUCCUCGGCAUUGUUCUAUGAGGAGCACUGGAUAUUGUUGCUUAGUGAUGGGAACUGAUGAAUUCGGC